UGGGGAAUAUUGCACAAUGGAGGAAACUCUGAUGCAGCGAUGCCGCGUGAGGGAAGAAGGUUUUAGGAUUGUAAACCUCUGUCUUCAGGGACGAAAAAAGACGGUACCUGAGGAGGAAGCUCCGGCUAACUACGUGCCAGCAGCCGCGGUAAUACGUAGGGAGCGAGCGUUGUCCGGAAUUACUGGGUGUAAAGGGAGCGUAGGCGGGAUCGCAAGUCAGAUGUGAAAACUAUGGGCUUAACCCAUAAACUGCAUUUGAAACUGUGGUUCUUGAGUGAAGUAGAGGUAAGCGGAAUUCCUAGUGUAGCGGUGAAAUGCGUAGAUAUUAGGAGGAACAUCAGUGGCGAAGGCGGCUUACUGGGCUUUAACUGACGCUGAGGCUCGAAAGCGUGGGGAGCAAACAGGAUUAGAUACCCUGGUAGUCCACGCGGUAAACGAUGAAUACUAGGUGUUGGGUGUCACAGACAUUCGGUGCCGCAGCAAACGCAAUAAGUAUUCCACCUGGGGAGUACGUUCGCAAGAAUGAAACUCAAAGGAAUUGACGGGGACCCGCACAAGCAGUGGAGUAUGUGGUUUAAUUCGAAGCAACGCGAAGAACCUUACCAGGUCUUGACAUCCAACUAACGAAGUAGAGAUACAUUAGGUGCCCUUCGGGGAAAGUUGAGACAGGUGGUGCAUGGUUGUCGUCAGCUCGUGUCGUGAGAUGUUGGGUUAAGUCCCGCAACGAGCGCAACCCUUGCUAUUAGUUGCUACGCAAGAGCACUCUAAUAGGACUGCCGUUGACAAAACGGAGGAAGGUGGGGACGACGUCAAAUCAUCAUGCCCCUUAUGACCUGGGCUACACACGUACUACAAUGGCCGAUAACAAAGUGCAGCGAAACCGUGAGGUGGAGCGAAUCACAAAACUCGGUCUCAGUUCAGAUUGCAGGCUGCAACUCGCCUGCAUGAAGUUGGAAUUGCUAGUAAUCGCGGAUCAGAAUGCCGCGGUGAAUACGUUCCC
rnacentral:rRNA from 1 species